CAGUCGCCGCGGUAAAACGUAGGUGGCAAGCGUUGCCCGGAAUUAUUGGGCGUAAAGGGCUCGCAGGCGGUUUCUUAAGUCUGAUGUGAAAGCCCCCGGCUCAACCGGGGAGGGUCAUUGGAAACUGGGAAACUUGAGUGCAGAAGAGGAGAGUGGAAUUCCACGUGUAGCGGUGAAAUGCGUAGAGAUGUGGAGGAACACCAGUGGCGAAGGCAACUCUCUGGUCUGUAACUGACGCUGAGGAGCGAAAGCGUGGGGAGCGAACAGGAUUAGAGACCCCUGUAGUCCCUGUCUCUUAUAC
rnacentral:rRNA from 1 species